GUGAGAAGACAGAAGCUGCUUCUUAUGCUUGGGAGUACCUUGACCACAACUGCCAGCCUCCUUCCUCCAGCAAGGUCCUGGGAUUGGGACUGCCCCCAGGUCCUUUCUACACAUACCUGUGAGCUGCUGGAAGUGACAGCUAAGGCGGCAAUGAGAGCCAUGAGAAGAGCACUGCGGGGCUCUAUGGAGAGGACCAUCAGACCGGCUCUGAAGACAGCUCAUGUCAGAGCAUGGGGGGUGGGGGGGUGUCAAGGAACAAUUCAGGUGAUGCCCUGAAAGAGUCUGUCACCUGCCAGGCUGAGUUCUGGACAAGAGAAGGCCCUCCCAGAAUCCCAAAGGAUUCAGCUAAUUUGGAGACCAAAGGGUCUCCAGUAUCCCUUCCCCACCCUGUGGGUAUGCAGGGAGCCACCAGUGCAGGCUGGUGAUGUUACAGACUGAGCCCCAAGGAGCCCCAGGAUCCCUCCUCCUAGAGGAAGGGAAAAGAAAACCACCAGAGACCUGCUGCUACCAUGUGUGACGGAGGAAAUAGGGCAGAAGAAGAAGGAAAUGGGACUGUUGUUGCUUUGCCCACAGGGUUCCAGAGGGAACCAGAAGCAGCUCUGCUGUGAACACCCCCCCCCACCCCCCCCCCGGCCCUCCACCCUCCAUCCUCCGUCCCAACGCACACACCACAGGCAUCUCUGGAGCUGCCUUGCCAGAAAGGAGGAUUAAGUUGCAUAGAACCAUUUUCAUUCUCAGACCUAGAAUGAUUUGGGGUGCAUCCAGGAGUCCAGCCUCUUCCCUGCUUCCCACCAGCAGGCCAGCCACAAGAUCUGACCCCCCUGAGGCUCAGUAUGGCAUCCUCACGUGAUCCAGUACAUCAUAUGCACAUCAGGUACCUGCCCAGCACCUGCUGUGUCUCCAGAAACAGUCCUGAAGAGUCGUAAUCAUGGUCCAUUUUUGCAUCUGUGGCCUGUCCACCUGAGGAAGAGGCUGGGCCUGGAGCUGUGACUGAGGCUAAGUGCGCAACACCCGCUUUUUAAAAAAAACAGUCCCAGAAUAGGCUGCUUGCUUCAACUCUGCACAGCCUCCUGCUCUGGGAAAUACAGAAUUAAUUGAAUGACAUGUGCAGCGAUUACGGGAAGGAGAUGGGUGGGGGAGGAUUGUCUGUGGAUCCUGCCAAGGAGACUAGGAAUUAAUUCAACCUGUCACUUUAUACUGAGCUCCCUUAGCAGGUGUCCAUGGAGCAGUCACCCCAUCUAUGCUGAAUACAGUACCUCACAGCCUGAGCAUACACUUGGCAGAGCCAACCAGGGCCUCUGGGAGGCCCACAGAGAAGCUGUAGCACUAGGGCAGGACAGGCACAACGGUAGCUGCAAGUGCUGUUCCAUUCCAUCCCAUUGCAUUCAGUCCCAUGUUACCUCACCACCUACCAGGUACUGGAAAUGUGCCAUGGUUGAAAGUAACAUGAUCUUCUAGUUGAAGAAACACACUGCAGAGCAGGGAAGGCAUCUGGCUAUACACAGAGCAUUUCUAGACUGAAUAAGAAUCCCGAGUUCCAACAUACUGCAAGCUCUGGUGAGAACAGGGAACAUCCACACUCUCUUAUUCAUACUUGUAAUCUCAAUGCCUGACACAGUGACCCACCAGAACAGAGUAAGUGCCUAAUAACAUGUUCUUUGAACAAGUAAAUGAACAAAGGCCCAGAUGACCUAAGUUGGACUAGCAAGAUUGCUAGAGCUCUGUGAGGAGUUGGGAUUCAACAUGUUCUCUGCUGAUCAUCCCUCUCCUCAAACCCCUGGGUUUCCUCUUAGGAGGUCUUCCUUUCCUCCCCAAAUGUACCCCUCCAAAUCUGAGCUCUGCAAUUUUGCUUUCAAUGAACGAUUUUAUGUCCCCCAAGCCCAAGUUGCCAAAGGUACUAAUAUUGGCAGAUCAGAGUCAGCACAGAGGUGCUUUAAGAUGCUUAGCCUGGCUGGGGAGCCCUAGACAGAGCUGGAUGUAUUUUUAGCUCUUCGGGUAUCUGGAAAGGUAUUGAGAUGCAGUUGUCGUUACAGACACCCGGGCCUAUCAGUAUUCUGCUACUGGCCUCCCCACACCAGCAGUUUCCAUUCAGUGUCUCAAAAGCAAGGGUUGCCAUGGAGAUUGAGUGCCAGGACAACCGAACUUCCUGUCAGGAAAUAACGGCACAGGUAGAGCUCUGGACCAAUGGGAAUCAAGGAGCUUCUUGGAUGGCCACAGCUUCCUCUCCUAAAGCCAAAUGAUGGCAGAAUUCCCUGAUGCCCUUGGAGGGGGUCAGCCCGACAACAGAGCUUCAUUCUGGGAGGGAUCGACUGUUGCUCCCUCACACCUGCCAUGAGCCGGUUUAUUUCUCUCCCUGUUUCUUUCUUCUCCAGAAGGCUUUGGCUGCCCACAGAGUCCAGAAGCUGCUGGGGAGAGAAAGACAGAAGGGUCAUUUUGUAUCAGAAGCCAGUCCUGGCAAAUACACAGAAUAUGAGCUCUGGCCAAGGCUGGGGAAGGCCAGGUCACCUAAGUCCUAGAGCCAUUGGAGUUACAGAGACUCCCUCUUCUGGGUGGCACAGUACAGAAUUAUCUUAUUUUUUUUUCCUUGCUGUUUCCUGUGUGCCUGGCAGGUUUAAAAAAAAAAAGAUGAAAAAUACAAACCUCCAAGAGGCCAUGGUGACCACCUCUAGUGACAAAGCUGGUAAGAGGUGAAAGUGUUAGAACACCCAGGUCUGUCUAGUCCAGAGACUCAGAGGGUAAGACCCAAGAAGCUCUUAGAGAGUGUUGACUCUGACACACUUCACAGAAAAUCAACUGAGGCCCAGAAAGAGCAGGUGAUGGAGCAGGGCCAGGAUUCUUCUGGGCACUUUUUUUUUAAAAAAAUUGUUUUGAGAGAGAGCUUUUUAAUAUUUAUUUUUUAGUUUUCGGCAGACACAACAUCUUUGUUUGUAUGUGGUGCUGAGGAUCGAACCCAGGCCGCACGCAUGCCAGGUGAUCGUGCCACCGCGUGAGCCACAUCCCCAGCUCUUCUGGGCACUUUUAUUCUUGUUGCCUAAACCUCUUCCCAGAGAAACCUGCUGCCUUAGACAUUUACUGGACACUCAUUCUCUAUCAGGCAAUGGAUCAACUGAGAAUUAUGUUCAGUUACUGUCAGGGGAGACCUGACCUAGAGACUUAAAUGAACUAGGAGUUUAUUCUCUCUCAUAAAAGAAGUCCGGAGGCAGCUGCUUCAGGGCUAUACCAAGCCAUCAGGGAUGCAGCUUUCUUCUACCUGUCUCACUCUUUCUGGCACAUAGAUUUAAUCCUAAAAAUGCCCAAGAUAUCUGCUGAAGUUCUGGCCAUCACGUCCAUAUCCUGGACAGGCAAAGUGGAAAGAGAAAGGGACAGAGUAUGUGUGCUUCCCUCUCCUUCCCCUCCCUCCCUUUAGAAGUCCUCCUGCAAGCCCAAGUUCCACUGACAAUCCGUUAGCACCUGCUGGUUGCAAGGGAGAUUAUGAAAUGUUGCCUUUUACCUGGGCACAUUGCUGCCCUCAUUAAAACUGGGGUUGUGGUAGGAAUCAAGAAUGGGAGAAUGAUAUUGGGAGAGCAAUUUCUGCCAUGGGCACUUUGCUAGGGGAUUUCAUCAUCUAUAUGGUCACCCGUGUUUAUCUCCUAAGGCUUACAAAGGGGUUCUGUUUCCUGCUUCGUGAAACUUCUCUGUGUUGUCUAAAUCUUCUGCAGUGUGUAUAUUUAUUUGACAAUAAGAGGGGUGGGGGAAAGACAUCUAUCCUCCUUCAUCAUCCACCUAGGUGACUAUUAGCCUAGAGUCAAAAUGAAUAUAAAUUCAAUUCAGUUUGAAUGAUAUCUACCAACUAUAUCACUAUGGAAAGAGGAAUGGAACAAAAAUAGAAAGUCUCCUGGGAGCUGGAAGGAUCUACAGCUUCAGGCAUGGCCAGCUCCUGGGCCAGUUCCUGAGCUGCCUCUCUGCCAGCCCCAACUCCUGUGUUUGGGGUGCUUCCCACGUGCUGAAAUCCAGUGUCCUCAGAGACUGAGGCUGAAGGCCAACUGGAGUCAUGUUGAAUAGCAGCAAGUGGAGGCUGUAGAGCCUGCUGAGGCUCAGCCUCCACACAGUCUCUCACAGAGGACUGCAGUUCUUUAGGAAUCAGAGGUAUCCCCAGUACCCAUAGGCAAAUCAGGGACCUGGAGGAGUAUUCCCUCAUCCCCACAGGACAGAGAAGCCCCUCCACAAAUCAGAACCUGGAGCCCAGGCCUCCUGAAUCCUGCUCUAUCUGUGGAAAUAUUUCUGGAGUGAAAAGUGGGCCAUACGGGGAACUUACCAAGACUCACCUGAUUGUGGUGCUUUUCAACAGUCUUUUAGAGUAAAAUAUUGUCCAAGACAUGAUGAAAGGUUUUGAGAGAUGUCUGUGAAGAAGCCAGAGUCAGUCGACUCAAACGAAAUUGAAACAUGGGUGUUCCUUCAUGAGUUGAGCCAGAUUCAUCCCAGAAUCCUCCCCGCUCCCCACUAAUUGGUACUAAAUGAACAUCAGUUCUAUUUGGAGAGGUACAUGCUUGGUUGAAAACCCUCAUCUCUCAAGUUCACUUACAGAUGUUCACCGUGCUGGAUAAUAAAUAUUGGUAGAACUCUCUGGGAAGAGUAUCUGUCCCUGAACAAAAAGGCAAAGGCCCAAGAAGAAACCGCACGUUGGCCUCACCCUCUUCUUCCUGCCUGGAGAAGGGAGGCCUGGGGUUGAAGUAAUUGUCUCACCAUGCUGAAAAGGAAUGCCUCAUGUUUGAGCAGGGUUCUCUGUAACUUUCCUAACAAUGUCCCUGGAUCAUCUGCCUCCUAACUUUUCGUUAUAUCUCACAACACACACACACACACACACACACACACACAAAAAAAAAAAAAAA